GGGGUUGUAGCUCAGUGGUAGAGUGCUUACCUUGCAUGCGUGAGGCCCUGGGUUCAAUACUCAGCACCA
rnacentral:tRNA from 1 species